GACGAACGCUGGCGGCGUGCUUAACACAUGCAAGUCGAACGGAAAGGCCCUGCUUUUGUGGGGUGCUCGAGUGGCGAACGGGUGCGUAACACGUGAGUAACCUGCCCUUGACUUUGGGAUAACUUCAGGAAACUGAGGCUAAUACCGGAUCGGAUCUCCUGCUGCAUGGUGGGGGUUGGAAAGUUUCGGCGGUUGGGGAUGGACUCGCGGCUUAUCAGCUUGUUGGUGGGGUAGUGGCUUACCAAGGCAUUGACGGGUAGCCGGCCUGAGAGGGUGACCGGCCACAUUGGGACUGAGAUACGGCCCAGACUCCUACGGGAGGCAGCAGUGGGGAAUAUUGCACAAUGGGCGGAAGCCUGAUGCAGCAGCGCCGCGUGCGGGAUGACGGCCUGCGGGUUGUAAACCGCUUUCGCCUGUGACGAAGCGUGAGUGACGGUAAUGGGUAAAGAAGCACCGGCUAACUACGUG
rnacentral:rRNA from 1 species